GUUUACCGCGUCACUAGUGAUAAGAUUCAUGAUCAUUAUCUUGGUCCCUCCAUACAGAAUGAGUUAAUCAAUUUUCUCGCUGCUGCAAUCAAGUCAAAAAUCAUUGAGAAGGUAAAAGAAGCAAAGUACUACUCAGUUAUACUUGACUGUACUCCUUACGCAAGCCACCAAGAACAAAUGUCUUUGAUAAUUAGGUAUGUUGAUGCAUCUUCAGAUUCUUUUUGCAUUGUAGAAUCCUUCUUAGGUUUUUUGGACAUGAAUGAUACCACCGGGCUAGGAUUGUUUGAUGUUCUACAGAAGGAAUUUAUGAGUCUUGACCUUGAUGUGGACAAUGUGAGAGGUCAGGUAUAUGAUAAUAGGUCGAAUAUGAAAGGAAAAAAUAAAGGAGUACAAAAAAAAGUAUUGGAAAUAAACCGAAGAGAUUUUUAUUCAGCUUGUGGUUGCCAUAGUAUGAAUUUGGCACUAUGUGAUAUGGCAAAGUCUUGUCGUAAAGCAAAAGAAUUUUUUGGAGUUAUCCAGCGUAUCUAUACAAUAUUUUCUAAUUCUACUAAGCGAUGGCAAAUUCUCAAAGAUAACAUAACAGGAUUGACUCUCAAGUCAUUAUCAUCUACUUGUUGGGAGAGUUGUGUUGAUAGCGUUCAGGCUAUAAGGUUUCAGCUACCAGAAAUAAGGGAUGCCUUACUGCAAGUGGCUGAAAGUGAUAAAGAUUCUUCGACACAAAGUGAAGCUCAAUCAUUGACGGAGAAUGAACUUGGUGGCUUUGAUUUUUUAUUAUCAAUCAUCAUCUGGUAUGAAAUAUUAUCCGAUGUUAAUUUAAUUAGCAAAGAGUUUCAACCAAAGGAUAUGCUUAUUGAUAUUGCAAUUGAAUAUGUAAAAGGCUUGCUUUCCUUUUUCAAUAAGUAUAGAGAAACUGGCUUUCCAAAAGCAUUGGAAGUUGCGAAAAAGAUUGCAUUGGAGAUGGAUAUUCUUCCGGAGUUCCGCACCAAGCGUAAAAUCAAAAGGAAAAAAGCAAUUUGA
rnacentral:rRNA from 1 species